AGGUACAAGAUCAAGAUGUCUAUCUCUUUAUUCCCUUCCUCGGUUUCUGUUGCUGAAUUUCUCCAGUUAUGACUUGUGGCCUAAUUUUGCUGAUGGCUGGUCAAAUUUGUCAUGAGAAAGGGAAGCCUCUAUGAGGCAGCACAUUGUUGUAGACAAGCUUUAGCAGUCGUUGUCUGGUGAUAUCUUUCAUGCAGCUCCUAAUAUUGAUCAUUCACAGGAAUUUGUACGCAAGGAUAUAAAGGUCUGGUUAAAUUGGCUUCGGAAUGAUAUUGGCUUUGAUGGAUGGAGCCUUGAUUUUGUAAGGGGAUUUUCAGGUCAUUAUGUGAAAGAGUAUAUUGAAGCUUCAAACCCUGCAUUUGCUAUAGGGGAAUACUGGGACAGCUUGUCUUAUGAAGGUGGCAACCUUUGCUACAAUCAAGGUAGUCUUCUUUUUUUUUUUUUAAUAUCUCAGAGCUAGUUUUGAUAUUAUUAUUAUCAUAUCUAUGUUUCCAAUUUUGUGCUUUCGAAGAACUUAAUGCACCAGACUUUGUGUUCUUCUAACUUAUGCUCUAAUAGCUGUUCAUCAACCAUCAUUUUGAUUGUUGAAAAUUGUGUCAUUAUUGUAGCUUAAAAAGCUGAUAUAAUAGGAUAUUCAAGUGUUUUCCAUAUGACUGCCAUGUCAACAUUGUUAACUUGUAUUAUACUAUUUUUUUAUUUGUUCAUAUCGCUUCAUAACUGCCUGUAGGUUGUUGGGCUUUUGUGGAUUUAAAAUUAUUAUGCUUAGAUAUUUAAAAGGGCAUAUAGUCUAGAAAAAGAAAGAGGAUUGACUGUUGCUAAAAGAUUUUCAAUCCCUGAAAAUGUUAUUGACACCAUAGUAAGUCAAUAUUGAAAUCUGUAUCACAUGGGUGCUCCUAAAUGGCUGCCGCACUCCUGUCACAUCCAUGUAGACAUUUGCGCUGGUGCGGGUGCUUCUCUGACAUAGCACAUUCGGCUCAGUUAGCCGAACUGGCCAGAGCUAACCAAUUUAAAACUGCACAUAACUAAACUAUCUAAUAUAAAAAGUUUAUAUGUUUGACACAGAUUGAAAUGUAAAGAAGAAGAGGGUGAACCAAAAAUAUUGUAAGGGAAAAAGCACCUUAUCAAUUGGCAAGUUAGUCUAGAGGCAACUCCUCCUAUUGUUAGAGUAGCUUCUUUUAAAUAUGGUUGUAGAGCUUUGGUUAGUUGAGCCAGCAAAAAACCUCUAAUAGAUCCAAUUGCAUCACAACUUUAGCUGCAGUUGCUGUUUUUUCAAACCUUUUCAGCUUUGGGCACCUUGGUUUUAUCUGUCCAAGUUCUUGGUAGUCAAAGGAAAUAAUGUUUCUGUUGGAUUCUUCAUUGUUCUUGCUUUGGAGCUGGCCCAACAGCCAGCUCCUUUAUCCUUCUUGUUUUCUUUUCUUCUAUAAAUGAGGGACUUGAGUUCCUUGCUUACGGCUAUAAGGCCUGUUAUUCUGUACUGUUUAAAGUUUCAGCAAUGCAUGUUUAUGCACCUCUAAUUUGAGGCUUUUCUUGA